ensembl:lncRNA
UUUUUUUUUUUUUUUUUUUUUUUUUCCCAGGGCUCUUCCAUUUAUUUACUACACAGAAUUGUUGGGUUUUACUUUGCAGUUAUUUUGGUUUCACCUUUAUUUUUCUGCAUGAGGUACAACUUAAUCCCUGCUCCGGAGAAAGCAUUAGUUGCUUCCUCCAGUGUUUUUCAAGACUAUCAGAUCUCCAAGCAUGUCAGAAACAUUCAGAUGUCAAAUGGGGGGAAAAAGUACGUGCAAACCCUGCCAGAGUUUAGACAUGCAGCUGACUGCUACCACUUGAAGAAAAGCACAACUGAGAGCCAAACCUGGUUUGCUUCUUUUACCAUCUGCAGCACCAGGGAAGAUGGGAUAUUUUGCCCAUGGAACAUGCUUCCUGACAGUAGAAUAAGAGUCAAAAGGGAAAAUCUCAGGCUGGCAUUCCAGAUUCAGAAGUAAAGGCUGCUUUGGUGGACAGUGUUUUGGGUCCUCUACCAUGACCCAAAACCUGAUCUCUUUUGCCUUUCAAAUCUAAAAUACAGAGACACUAAAUCUUCUCAAAUAAAAUGCUUUUACCAGCAUAGUCACAGCAAUGCCCUCCACAACAGCUUCAGAGGAACCAAGGAGAUGCUGGCUGGAAGACAGUCCAGUCCCCAUUCACAGCAGGGCUACCAGUAAAGCCACAUCAAGUCAGUCACAGAUUUGUCUAUCGCAGCCCCAAAAACCUUCAAAACCCCUCUGGGUACCUUUACUAUGCAGUAUCUGUCUCCUUUUACCUUAGCUCCAACCUAAGCACACCAUGGUGCAGUCUGUGGGCAUCAGCCCAUGAUAUACUGGGGAGAGAUUUGCGUCCUGCAUCCUUUAUAACUAUUUUCCAAGUACUUGAGCACUUCACCGCUUUCUGCGUCAGUCAUGGCUGCCUCCUCUCUCUGUUAGCAGAUCUGUAUUUACCCUGAAUUUCUUUUAGCAGCUACCAUACCUGCAGGAUCCUUCUUUGUUACCCUUAAAAGCCUGCCUCAAGCCUUUGCUCCAACUGGGCUUUUGUCUUCUUGAUUUCAUCCUUAGGCACAUGGAGCAUGCUUUUAUACUCCCAUUGUCUGUCCCCACUUCCAUCAUCUUCGUGAUCCCAAGUCUCGUCCCAGUUGUCUUGAAAUACUGUUUUUCAGACACAUUCAGCCGGGGGCAGACAGCUGGUAUGAACAAUUACAGCCCAGUCACCAAACUGAGCAUCUUAUAAUGAGCAGGGUCAGGAAAUUUCAAUAAUUAGUAAGUCUACUCCUCCCACUUGUAAUUAUUUACUGUCAGCUAUUGCAGCCAACACUCACUAGGCUCCGACCAUAUAAUCCUUUUAAGCAACCCUGAAGUGUAUUUGUGUUAAAUAAAUACAGCACUGAUUUAUCCUAGCAAAUGAGUGUUAGUGCUUGCUCUAUUUAAUGUUGUUGUAUUAUCUUCCACUGUUUCUGCAGCCCUGGACAUUUUAAAUUUAUUUCUAAUAUCUAUAUCUUCUUUUCCCUCAGCCACACCUCAUUUUAUGCUUUCUAGUCUUUGCCAAGAUUUUUAUUACAUCUGAUGUCACUUUCCACUUUUUUCCAUUUCAUCUCAAGCUGUUCCCUGCUGCUCACCUGCUUCUCCCCUGCACCUCUCACACAAUCAGUUCCUAUCUUCAUAUUUCUUCUCAGACACAGCUCUUCUGGCUUGACACAAGCUCUUGUUCAUAUAAUUUUAUUCCAGAGCAAUCCAGUGUCACACAUUAUCUUCCCUCCUGCUGUGGGGAGAGGCAAAGCUCAAGCACAGUGUUUCCCUAGGACUCAUUUGCUCUCCCCUUUGUCCUCUGUGCUAACCUCAUCCCUGACCCUUAUGGCUGGCAGCUGUCCUGGGCAGCCUCUGUUUUGCGGUCCAGACCCAGGUGCAGAGAUGUCCUCAGUCCAUCCACAGAGCCAAUAACCUUUUCUGACUCUGGUAGAGCUAUUCCUGCCCCUUGGCUUCAGUGGACAGAGAGGAGAUGCUCUAAACAGGGCUGUUCCUGCAUCCAGGUCUCAGCUGGGUGUUGAGUUUGUUUGGCUUUUUCCUCCUUCCCUUCAGGGACCCAAGAUCACUGUUUUACAUUCUACAGAAGUCAUUGGCCUUUCUUGGAAGAUUGAGGUCAGUAAGUCAUACCCACUCCUCCCACCCAGGUGCCGUAAAGCCGCACAGACAGCUGCCCCUUACUGUUUCUGGAUGCCACCAGCAACAGUGGGAGGGGCACUAUGCUGAGCUCCUGUGGCAGCAGCCAGGAAGAAUACCAUACCCAGCAAACUUGGAGGCAAAGCCCCCUGCCCUGUACUUUCUGCAUUAUCUUGGGCAAGUCCAGUUGCUCCACAACCCCUGCUGAGAACAGAGCUUUCCUGAAUCUACUUAGUCUCACACUGGCCUAUGAGGUACCCUGAGACUAUACAGAGCAUCAUGAAUAUUGAUAAGAUAAAUAAAAAGAAAUUUGGAAUAAGAAAUCAAGAAAGCUGCCAGAGAAUGUUUUCUAUUUUCUUUGCCUGGGGGAAGCAUGAUCACUAUCCAUUCGCUUUGGCAACAUCCACCCACGCAGAAGGGAAAAUAGAGGGAAGCUGGCAGAGCGAGAGCUCCAGCGUAGGUCUACAAGGACAUACCACAGCGAGAUUUGCCCACAGCAGAUGCACCUUUAUAAAGGAAAGUGCCUGGUCCCCAUUGUGGCUGACCAAAAGAUAGACCCAGGAGCUGCCAAGCAGCUGAAUCUACAGGAUCAUCAUUCUAAGAGCACCAUCCAGUUAACUGAGCAGUCACCCCCACAUAAAAAUCCAGAUCAGCCAGAUGGUCUCUUGUCACUGUGCAGACCACUUGGUAUGAGGCAAAUGGCCUUUGCAUGCUUAUCUUCUGAAGUGUUGCCUAAUUUGUUUUAACUGUUUAAAAAUUGAGUGCAUCAUCAACACUUAAGCUACUCCUGCUUGUUUGCUUCGUUCUGUUAGUAAGUAUUAAAUAUUUAAAAAGUUCUUACAAGGUACCUUCUAACAGCAGGUUCAGCUGUUGCUGUGCUGCACAUAAAUAAUUUAAACCCCUGUGGAAUAAAAAUGAAGCCUGGAAUGGUGCAGUGGUAUAACCUUUAUAUUACACCUCUGUAUGCUGGCAGAUGGGAGACUACAGCAAGGGGCUUCAGAGGCUGCGGCAAGACUGGUCAACAUGUAAGGACUUUUGUGCUCCCACUUCCUGUCCCUGAGACCCCCAAAAUGAGCUGCCUCCUUUCCCCUUCAUCUCUCCCCCUUCCCUAUUUGCUCCACGCACCUGGGAAGGCUGCUUGUCACUACAGGAACACAGCAGAAGUCAGCAGUCCUGCUGCCUCCAGGUAAGUGAUGCUUUAUCACUGCACCAGCAGGCUGACAGGCAAGGGGUGUGCUGGGAUCUCCCUAUGCAUGGAAGGGAUAAGAAACAGUGUUACUGCAGAGGACAAGCUAUGCUUUGGCUUUCCCCAAAAAAGCACUUUCUUUCAGAGGGACUCGCGCAAAUGUUUCAGCUUUUAUUGCCUUGCCUGCUCUUCCAGUAGCUCUCCUUUCGGGAGCAUCCUCCUGUUGGUAACUAUCACCAGAGCCUUUGCAAGGGAACCAGAUUUCCCAGACAGCUUUGCCAGCAGAGCAGAGCCUCCACCAAGCCCCACAGCAGCACAGCAUGCCUCCCUGCAAGCCUCCACUGGGGACCAGGACAGGCGUGCAAAAAGCAACUUUGUACCUCUAAUUUGACCCAUCAUCUUGCCUGAACUUGUUCCAUGGUGUUUUCACAGACAAGCUGACUAGGAAAGCACUGAGCCAUCAAGGCAAAAGAAUUCACUGAAGUUAUUUUGUGUAUCCACAACUAAGGUGGAGGGUGCUGGGACUCUGUAAAUACAGCUCAGAGUAUUUGAACAAGACAACAAAUUGAAUUUUGUCAAAUUCAAGUUUCUGGCUACAAGCUUAUCUUUUUUAUGUGCAAGUGCUUAAGACCAUAGUGAGGGGAAGGGAAGCAAACAAAAAGCAAGUAAAUUAAUACAGAUUUAAGUGCAAACACCAACUUUGCCUGAAAUAACCUGGCAUUGGGAGGCACUGCUGGGUAACAGUACUACAGACAACGCAGGCAGAACUUUAAAAAUAGUAACAUGGGAAUUAUUAGCACACCAGCUUGCUAUUCCCCUGCAGCUCCGUAACUUGAGAGGGCUCUGCUUCUGUUAAGCAAAACGCAAGGCACAUCCCGUGGGUAGCAUUAGCCUUGUGAGUACAGCACUUCCCACACUGUUAAAAAUAACCUUUCUUGUCUCUAUGCACCGGACUUUGGGGGUUGGUUUUGCUUUCUGCUUUACCAUAUCAAUAUAAUUUCCAGGCAAGCUAAGAAAAUCAACUUUAUCAAGGUGAAAGUGAGGUGUCCUGUGAUGGGAGUUAGGUGACUUAGACAUCCUGUUUAUCAGAUGCACUCAAUCAAGACCGUGAAGUGUUUCAUGCCACCAGAAUGCUUUGUGACCUCAGCUGCCUUUAUCCUGGCAAUAUUCCUGUGACAAAACCAGACCAUUAGUGCAAGGGGAAGUUGAUGCCCAGAAGCCCCUGUCAUAAGGCCACACAGAAGAUUGCUGGCACAAGAGCAAGCCUAAAUUACAGUUUGAGGAGAUAAUAUUCUUUAUCAACUGCAUUUUUUUUCUUUAUUGCAGCCAAAGCUCAUUUAUAUUGGGAGUUCCUCCCUGCCAAAGGGGAAAUCCCCAGAACACCACCGAGGUGAAUCAGAGCAGUAGUAGCUUGCUCAAAAGCUAAGAGUAGUAGUAAUUGCUCACAGGAGGAUGCUGUGCAGCUGCUUGGCUGUAAGCACCAACCCUCAGCUCAGAUGGAGACCUGCACAUCUUCCUUGCAGUGUUGCACAGCACUGAGAUGCUACAGCUGAACAGAGCCCUGGGGACAGGAGGGGCGUGAGGCAGGAGGCAGUCCAGUCACCCUCCCCUGUGGGCAAAGAAGAGCUGCCAAAGCAGGAGGGGUCAGGGUAUGGGUGAGGAAUGGCAAGGACAGCCACCAGAGCUUGAAUGCUAAAGGGACAAACAGUGGAGUGUCCCAUGGGAGCAAGCACAGCUAGGAGCAAUCUGGGACUUUCUCUGUAACAGGUCAGGAAUAUUUUAUUUUACUUUUCUACUGAGCUGGAUCAAGCUGUGGUCCAGUGCAUGCUACCAAAAUCUGAAAGCAAGUACGUCAAGGCAGCGUUACCUAAACACAGCAGCCAGUUAAACUAAAGAGCAAUACAUGAAUCUAAAAUCAGACAAAGCACUGAAGAAACCUCACAUAUGCUACUUUCUUCCCUAAGUAUCUAUAGGGUUUUAAUAGUGCAUUUGAAUAAUCCAGUUCUUUUCAGGCUACUCACUGGGCUAGAAACAUUGCAGUCAGUCACUCAGGUCUCUUCUUACCCACCAGCUGGGUCAGAAAGAGCUCCACAAGGUUUUCUGCCAUCUCCCAGGCAAAACCAGUGAGGCUACAAAACCAAGAGAUAAUGGCUUCAUACAAAACCCUUUAACAACACUCAGGGUCCAACGUUUCUUAUUUCAUUCAAGUCCAUUAAAGCCAGCUCACACAGCAACUCAUCUAUUGCAUUGUCAGCAAACACUGUUUGAAGCUGACCUUCACUCAGACCACAGCAUCCCGAGAUCCGAUAACAACUCCGCUUCCUCCAAGCCUGUCCUGAGCUCAGAAAUUCACCAUUUGGCUUGAGGAUUUCAAGCUCUGUUUGCUGACAGCAAACAUUGCAUACCUGAGCCUGACUAUUCUUAGCUAGUUACUAGCAACUGCCUUUGCUUGGUUCAUUGAUUUAUUCUCUUCCUUAGGCUGCUCCAGAUGACCUUGCUCUGCUCCACACACCAGGAGGACCAUCCUCUGCAGCAAAAAAUAUUCCUAUGUCCUGAACUGAGGCAGGCAACCACAUCAAAACACCUCUCCCCACUUCAAAUAGCAGAAAGUGCUGCACAUACACCAGGGACAAAGGAGGAGGCAGUGGUCAGUGUAAAAGGAGUAUUUCCCAUAAUGCUACCUUCUGAAUUUUUAAGGGUUCUUGGGGUAACAGAAGCUUGUUUGAGAGGAUUUUUUUUUUUUAAAUUUAACCCAAGAUUGUUACAGGAGAAAAAUAUUUUAGCCUGCCCUAAAAAUGAGAUGCCAGCAUUAUCCUGUCAGAAUAUGGCAGUUUAUUUAACUAUAAUGCCUAUAUUCUUUUUUUUUUUCUCUCUUAAUGCUAUAGCACCAAGAAGUCACAGACCUUCUUACCUAGGUAUAUACUAUUUGUUCAUCCAUCAAUAUUCCAAACAUUUUCAAGAAUGGCCAGCAUGCUGGGAACCUCAAAUUUAUGUUGCUCCAGGUGUGAAACAUUGUGAAGAGCAUUAUUCUAACAAUAAAGGUGCAUUUAAAGUGUCCCAUGUGGAACACCAAUAAAUCAAGGCACUUCAAUCAGUAGUUUUUAUGAAUGCCUCAGCCUUUGGCCUUAACAAUGUUGCAGCAGAAUGAACAGUGUGUUUUGCUAGUAAGAGAAAAUCCUCAGUCUGCAUAAGCUUCAAAGCUCGACUAUUUAGACUACAAGAACCUUGUAUUUGCCCAUAGAGUAUUUCUCUAUGGCAUAAAAAAUCUCUAAUGUUCUGGAAGGAUAAAGAUUAUUUUCCCAUUAGCCAUAAUAAUCCUAUUUAAAACUUUGAAAUAUACCCAAACAACAACAGUGCCUCAGCACUGUUACAUCUGCCACAGCUCCUCCUUCACAAGUGAUCUUAUGCUAUACAGUUCAAUUUUGUCAGAGUUAUUUUAAAAACACUACAUUAUUUAGGACUCCUGCCAGUGAGUCAUAACUGAGAGAUGAUGGAGGAUGGAAAAAGAUAGAAAAAUGUGAGCAAAGCUUCUCAGCAUUAAUUUAGAUGUUUAAGCAGUAGGUGUUUUUAGGUGUUUACUUAAGCAGUAAAACCUCAUUAAUCCUCAGAAAUUAAAGAGAUCAGUGUGCUGUCUCUGAUGUCUUCAGCCUAGACAGGGCCUUUGCUACCAGGAGGCAGGUCCAGCUGGAAGGGAAAGAUGUUAGAAAGCCACUGAAUCAGCCAAGAGAUUCCCUGCAGAUUUGCUUCAUUUUUCUGAGUCACUGCCAGCUUCCUGUAGUUUCCCCCUGAAUGCUUUUGACAUAUCAGCUGCUCAAAGGACCAACACCACUCCUUUAAGGAACUAGAAAUCAGGGAAUAAGGAAGGAAAAAUACUGUGAGAAGCACUACCACUGAAGUUUACAAGGGGCACCAGGAUUUGCUUUCCUUCCUUCAAAGAGAUUGAUCACAACCUCUUUUGACAAUGAGAUCUAAUAUUACAUACAGGAGAGUUCACAUGCUUGUUUUCCUAAAGGCAGCAGACUUGUCUUACACAAAGCUUUUGGCACAUCAACUCCCCAGAUCUCUGUGAAGAGGAGAGGAAGAGCUGCUUCCUGCUCCUGACACUGCUGCUGACAGGCCCACCUGACAUCUGUAGGUGGGAGCAUCACCCGUGCCCAGGCUUUCAGCCAUGGGACUUGCUGACACCACUUUAGGUGUGAGCUUGUGAGAAUCUGUGUGUUUUAUCUGAGUCCCAGCUGGAGCCAGGAGGCAGGCUGUGCUCACUGGAGUCUCUCUCCCUAAAUGCUGAUGCACUUAGUGCACACCGUCAUGAUCCAUGUAGGGAUAAUGCAAGUAGUAGGAAACAACACACAGUUUCACAGCAGGGUAAAUGCAAAAUGCUGUCUUAUAUCCUCUUGUGGUAUACUUCUCCAAGAUCUGCAAGGCAGGAGACAGAUGACAAAAUGGCAGACAGUAAGAGAUUUUUAGGUUGGAACAGGAUAGAUAGGGCAGAAAUCUCAGUCUUGACCAGGUCAGCAGGCACCAGAAUAAUAGAUGAAUUAAAGAACUAAAUUCUGUUUAAUUAAUGCAAAUGAAUAGGGAGGAAAGUAUUUUGUGGUCUUUAAAUCAAAGAGCUCAAUCAUUUGCUAUGUCUAAGUAAAUAAUUUCAAGUCUUUCAUGAACUGCUGUGGCACUGACCUCUGGCUCAAC